rnacentral:hammerhead_ribozyme from 1 species
AUCUAGAUGACGAGUCCCAAAUAGGACGAAAGCACGUCAAUCUGUAU